rnacentral:rRNA from 1 species
CUACGGGCCGCUCCAGUGGGGAAUCUUAGACAAUGGGGGAAACCCUGAUCUAGCCAUGCCGCGUGAGCGACGACGGCCCUAGGGUUGUAAAGCUCUUUCAGCAGGGAAGAUAAUGACGGUACCCGCAGAAGAAGUCCCGGCUAACUCCGUGCCAGCAGCCGCGGUAAUACGGAGGGGACUAGCGUUGUUCGGAAUUACUGGGCGUAAAGCGCGCGUAGGCGGAUUGUUAAGUCGGGGGUGAAAUCCCGGGGCUCAACCCCGGAACUGCCCUCGAUACUGGCAGUCUUGAGUUCGAGAGAGGUGAGUGGAAUUCCGAGUGUAGAGGUGAAAUUCGUAGAUAUUCGGAGGAACACCAGUGGCGAAGGCGGCUCACUGGCUCGAUACUGACGCUGAGGUGCGAAAGCGUGGGGAGCAAACAGGAUUAGAUACCCCCGUAGUC